UACGUAGGGUGCAAGCGUUAAUCGGAAUUACUGGGCGUAAAGCGUGCGCAGGCGGUUUUGUAAGUCAGAUGUGAAAUCCCCGGGCUUAACCUGGGAACUGCGUUUGAAACUACAAGGCUAGAGUGUGGCAGAGGGGGGUGGAAUUCCACGUGUAGCAGUGAAAUGCGUAGAUAUUACCAGGAACACCAAUGGCGAAGGCAGCUUGCUGGGCCGACCCUGACGCUGAGGUACGAAAGCGUGGGGAGCGAACAGG
rnacentral:rRNA from 1 species